UGCAUAUCAAUAAGCGGAGGAAAAAAAACCAACUGGGAUUACCUUAGUAACGGCGAGUGAAGCGGUAAAAGCUCAAAUUUGAAAUCUGGUACUUUCAGUGCCCGAGUUGUAAUUUGUAGAAUUUGUCUUUGAUUAGGUCCUUGUCUAUGUUCCUUGGAACAGGACGUCAUAGAGGGUGAGAAUCCCGUUUGGCGAGGAUACCUUUUCUCUGUAAGACUUUUUCGAAGAGUCGAGUUGUUUGGGAAUGCAGCUCAAAGUGGGUGGUAAAUUCCAUCUAAAGCUAAAUAUUGGCGAGAGACCGAUAGCGAACAAGUACAGUGAUGGAAAGAUGAAAAGAACUUUGAAAAGAGAGUGAAAAAGUACGUGAAAUUGUUGAAAGGGAAGGGCAUUUGAUCAGACAUGGUGUUUUUUGCAUGCACUCGCCUCUCGUGGGCUUGGGCCUCUCAAAAAUUUCACUGGGCCAACAUCAAUUCUGGCAGCAGGAUAAAUCAUUAAGAAUGUAGCUACUUCGGUAGUGUUAUAGCUUUUUGGAAUACUGUUAGCCGGGAUUGAGGACUGCGCUUCGGCAAGGAUGUUGGCAUAAUGGUUAAAUGCCGCUCGUCUUGAAACACGGACCA
rnacentral:rRNA from 1 species